GCGUGUGUGUGCUUGUGUGGAACUACAUAAAAACAUAAAAGUGGACCGUCAGUUCAUGUGGACACGCAGCUGGUGAACUGAAUGUCACGUCUGACAGGACACGCGUGUUGGGCCGUGAGGACUGUAAGAGGUGCACCACAGGACCAGGACAAGCCAACAGCAUGACAAAUACUCCACUUUCAGUCACAUAUCAGUGUGAGUGUUUUUUAUAUAUACACACACACACGAGUAUAUAUAUAUAUAUAUAUAUAUAUAUAUAUACACACACACACACAUAUUAACCAUGGGUCUUUAACCCCAGGCGCCUGUAUUGUGUCCCAUUUUAUGUAUUAUUUAUAUCAACCCAGUGAUAUUCACUAAUUAUUCAGCUGGUUUUUAUUUUAUUUUCCUCCACAUCAGCGGUGAGAUGUGGUGCAGCUCGUCCCAUGGAACACAUUGUGAGCAGCUGCAGCAGCUCGCACUGUGUUCCUGCUCAAAAGCCACCAUCACGUGCACGAACCGUCGCACCUGCAUCGUGCACACCUGCCCGUCGACACGAUGUUUCAGGGUGCGCUCAUAGAAGCUCUACCGCCGUGAGCUGCCCUGAGUUGUACGUAUUCGCACUGUGUGUGAAGGGGACCUUACUGAUGACAUCCAAGGAACCCAAAAAUUACAACAACAAAAAAAGAAAAUCCACACAAAAAAGUGAGUAGUUUUUCAUCAGUAUGUUAAUUCUGAAUUCUGAUUAACACUAAAUAAAAACUGAUCAUUUAUUAACGCUAAAUUAAAUGAUCAAAUAAUAGCUUAGACCUGUGAAAAUGAGUGUAAAGCCAAUAACUGGAACACGGAUGGAAAUCAGAAUUCUAAAAUUCACAUACAGUUAAUAUUUUAUAUUUAAUAUAUGUAUUAAUUUUUUUUCCAUGUUGACUUGUAUAUUUAUAUCGUCUAUAUAUGAAUUUGUUCGCUUCCUGUACUUAACGGUGUAUUGGUCUCUACAAGCUUUGGCUUUUCCAGGUGCAACCCGUCUCACACUCCUGACAUUUUUAAAUUGACUUUUAUUUGAAAUGAAUCAGAAAAUUUGUUUAAGGAUGUCAUUUAAAAGUUUUUCACAAAGUGAGCCUUUCUUUCCUCUGUCUUUUGUAUUUCCAGACGAGAUGAUGGGAAAAAGUUAUUUACCAGUUAUGGCUUUCUUGUCAAAAGUGAAAUGACCCCAAAUGCCCCCAAAGAAUUUUUUUUUAACUGACAUAAUUCCUGAGAGGGCGAAGUCAAACUCAAGAAAAGCUUUGUGAAAAACAAGACUCUAACGAAACAUGAAGCAGUGUUCAUUCAUUCAUUCAGAUUCCUUCUAGUCUUCUUUGUAACUUUUCUGUUUCUGAUUCCCAACUCAAAGAUCACAAACGAAACAUUUAAAUCUAAAGUUUUUAAAGCAGAAAA